UACGAGGGGGGCAAGCGUUGUUCGGAAUUAUUGGGCGUAAAGGGCGCGUAGGCGGUGCGGUAAGUCACCUGUGAAACCUCUAGGCUUAACCUAGAGCCUGCAGGCGAAACUGCCGUGCUUGAGGGUGGGAGAGGUGCGUGGAAUUCCUGGUGUAGCGGUGAAAUGCGUAGAUAUCUGGAGGAACAUCAGUGGCGAAGGCGACACCCUGGACUCAUACUGACACUGAGGUGCGAAAGCGUGGGGAGCAAACAGG
rnacentral:rRNA from 1 species